AAAAAAUUAGUUAAAUAAAUAACAUUAGCUUGUCAAGCUAAAAUUACUUUAGUAUUUUUUA
rnacentral:tRNA from 1 species